rnacentral:rRNA from 1 species
AGCGAACGCUGGCGGCAGGCCUAACACAUGCAAGUCGAACGGAUCCUUCGGGAUUAGUGGCGGACGGGUGAGUAACACGUGGGAACGUGCCCUUUGGUUCGGAACAACUCAGGGAAACUUGAGCUAAUACCGGAUGUGCCCUUCGGGGGAAAGAUUUAUCGCCAUUGGAGCGGCCCGCGUCUGAUUAGCUAGUUGGUGAGGUAACGGCCCACCAAGGCGACGAUCAGUAGCUGGUCUGAGAGGAUGAUCAGCCACACUGGGACUGAGACACGGCCCAGAAUCCUACGGGAGGGAGCAGUGGGGAAUAUUGCGCAAUGGGCGAAAGCCUGACGCAGCCAUGCCGCGUGAAUGAUGAAGGUCUUAGGAUUGUAAAAUUCUUUGAGCGGGGACGAUAAUGACGGUACCCGCAGAAGAAGCUCCGGCUAACUUCGUG